rnacentral:RNase_P_RNA from 1 species
UGGGCUGGCCGGGCGACCGCGUCGGCGUACCGAGAGGUGCGUCGCCGAGGAAGGUCCGGGCUCCACAGGGCGAGGUGGUGGGCAACACCCACCCGGGGUGACCCGCGGGACAGUGCCACAGAGAACAGACCGCCGCCCUCCUCCGGGGAGAGCGGUAAGGGUGAAACGGUGGUGCAAGAGACCACCAGCGGCCCGGGCGACCGGGCCGGCUAGGCAAACCCCACCUGGAGCAAGGUCAAGAAGUCCGGGCGAGAGCCCGGGCGCGUGUGCGUUCGAGGGCGGCCCGCCCGAGCACGCGGGUAGACCGCUGGAGGGGGUCGGCAACGGCUCCCGUAGAUGGAUGGUCGCCCCCCGGGAGACCGGGGACAGAACCCGGCCUACAGGCCAGCCCGUCCG